CGGGCUGCGGGGCCCUGGGGCCAGCUCACCGCCGGAAGUCUCCGCGUCCCCGCCGGCCAGAUCCCGUUCCCCGUCUUGCUUCCCAGUGCCUCGGGCCUCUUGGGGUUGGUGCUGGGCGCCGAGCCAGCGGAGCCGGCGGAACCCGCUUCCCGCCUCCACGGGGCAGCGCCAGCGGCCUGGUCCCUUCACCGGCAGCUCGGUGCCGACGCCCUCACCGCUCUUCCUAUCGCCGGGAGUGGCGGGCCGACCAGGGGGCGGCCGGGCUACCGUCCGCCAUUCCCGUGUCUCUGCGCCCGCGGGGGCCGCCCGAGCCGGCCACCAUGCCGCUGGGCCUGAAGCCCACCUGCAGUGUAUGCAAGACCACGUCGUCCUCCAUGUGGAAGAAGGGAGCGCAGGGGGAGAUCCUCUGCCAUCAUUGCACUGGCCGGGGCGGCGCGGGCAGCGGGGGCGCAGGCUCGGGGGCGGCUGGAGGGACUGGGGGCAGCGGCGGCGGCGGCUUCGGCGCGGCGACCUUCGCCAGCACCUCCGCCACCCCUCCGCAGAGCAACGGGGGCGGGGGCGGCAAGCAGAGUAAGCAGGAAAUUCACAGGAGGUCUGCUCGGCUCAGAAACACUAAAUACAAAUCUGCUCCAGCUGCUGAAAAGAAAGUCUCCACCAAAGGAAAAGGGAGAAGACAUAUAUUUAAAUUGAAAAAUCCCAUCAAAGCUCCUGAGUCAGUUUCCACUAUAAUCACCGCAGAAUCAAUCUUCUACAAGGGAGUAUAUUACCAAAUUGGUGAUGUUGUUUCUGUGAUUGAUGAACAAGAUGGAAAGCCCUACUACGCUCAAAUCAGAGGUUUUAUCCAGGACCAGUAUUGCGAGAAGAGUGCAGCACUGACGUGGCUCAUUCCUACCCUCUCUAGCCCCAGAGACCAAUUUGAUCCCGCCUCCUAUAUCAUAGGCAAAAGCUGUAAUUUCCAGAGAGACCAUUAGGAACAGACUGCCUGCCCUGCUGACUUAAGGCCACAACACCAAACACAGAAGCAACAGCCUUACACAGAGCAUUGAGCAAGCUCCCACAGUUGUGUAAGAACUGUAUAAUGACGACUGCACAAGAUACCAAAUCAGAAGAGGUUCCAUUUCCAAGUUCUGAUUCAUAAGAGCUUCCAAAGUAGAGCCGGUACAUAUUGAAUUUUGAUUCAUCUGGAAGGAUCUCAGACAUCUCUAAAGAAACAAGGGACUGAUCUAAGCCACAUUCUCCAUCUCCAGCUGAAUCGUCAGAGCCACUGCUAUGGUUAAGAAAGACCAUUGAAGACAGACUUAGGUCACUAUCAGAGCUGGAACUUCCAUCCUAAAAUACACAAAAGGACAACCAGUUUAAAGAUGUAAAUAAUUUUAGUGUCAGAAAUAAAUAAUAACAUAGAUAGCAUUCUAUUAGAGAAAUACAAGAAACUUAGAAGCAUUUUUCAAAAAGCUCAUUAAUUCUCUAAUGGUUUUGAGGCACAUGGUAAAAAUUUAACUAUUAAAAUAUAAAGACAAGAUAGAAUGUGUAGAUAAUUUACCAACCAUCCCCCCAAGAAAGUCUGUAAUGAAGCUAAGACUCAGACCUCUGGGCUUUAUUUUUAUGUCUCUGACUUUCCAUUCAUACUUUUCUACUCCAAAAUGAUGAAUCAACCAUGUUAUAGGGUGCUUUCUCAUUAUAGAAAGCCCUACAAAUACACACCUUUCUGGUAGUAAAGGGAGAGGGGAGAACUUCAAUAGCUUGCCAGAAUAGCAAAAACUUAGGGAGUUUCUGAUUUAGAAACUGUAGGCUCUGUAGACAUUCCAACCAAAUGUGGUAAAGAAGAGUAAUAGAAUAAUCCUUCCUAGAAAAUAUAUGGUAAAGUCUAUAAUGUAACAGUUCAAAUAUCUACUGUAAAUAUUAAAAUCAUAAUACUAUCUUUAGAGAAAAGGCUGAUGCUAGGGCUGGGAUACAGAAAGUACAAGAUAAACCAAGAAUAUUUUUCUUUUUUGGGGGCAGAGUCUCAUUCUGUCAUCCAUGCUGGAGUGCAGUGGCACAAUCAUGGCUCACUGCAUCCUGGAUUUACUCAAGCGAUCCUGCCACAGCCUCUCCCAAGAAGCUAGGACUACACGUAUGUGCCACCAUGCCCAGCUAAUUUUUAAAUUUUUCGUAGAGGCAAGAUCCCACUCUGUUGUCCAUAGUGGGUAUAGUUUGUGCAACCAUAAUUUGGUCUCAGACUAGGCUCAAAUGAUCCUCCUGCCUCGGCCUGCCAAAGUGCUGGGAUUACAGGCGUGAGCCACUGCACCUGGCCAAGAAUAACUUACUGUAUCUGGAAGUGAGGAAUUGAUUCAAGAAUGAUGAGGACAUGUCAUAAAGAUACAGGAGCCAUACAAAAGGGGCUCCUAUUGGCCAGAUUGGGACAAUUUGAGCUUCAAAACAACAACUUUAACUGAUUAUUUUUUAAAAGUUAAAGUACAAACAAAUUUAAAACUCUAUUUUUGUUUGUAGUAUUUAAUUCAUGGUAUCCCAAUUUAAAUAAUAUCCUUGCAAACACCAACAUGUUUUUGCCAAUAUUAAGGUAAUGUUAAAGAAACAGACAUCAAACUCUUCAUAAUUAUAAAUUCUCUGCAAAACCCAUAUUCCAACUAUGGAACAUUCAACUAAAGGUAAAUUUAUGUUUCUAUACAGUUUUACCAAAGUUGUUUAAAAAAUAGCAUUUUUUAAGGUGGAAAUUUUGACAUUGCACUUCUUUUAUCACUCAUAAAAUGUCAUAACAACUUCCUCAUAUAACUUGCCUGGAGUCCACUCGAGAGCAGCAUUCCAUGUAAGGCCUCCAAUUGGGCAUUGUAAAGUAAAGCUUUCAGAUCAGCUCCAGUAAAGGAGUCGGUUACUGAUGCUACAUGCUGAAGGUCAACAUCAUCUGCCAGAGGUAGAGAGUCACUGAGGACAUUUAAAAUUUCAAGACGUGACACCUGAAGGGAGAAAAAUUUAUUUAACAAAUAAAAAAUUAAAUUAAAAAUAUUAUCUUAAAUUGUGUAUCUUAUGAUUUUCUUCAUAAAUUAGCCAUAUAUAUCUAAAACUUUAUAAGUAAGUGGAGAAAUGUAACAACAGCCUACUAUUUAUCUUCCUUGGAACUUUUUCCCCAACAGAAAUAAUAUAUAUAGGAAAAUGAAUGAAAAUCACACACUCUUAAGGCUGGGCAUGGUGGCUUAUGCCUGUAAUCCGAACACUUUGGGAGGUUGAGGCGGGAGGAUCACUUGAGCCCUGGAGUUCAAGAAAGCCUGGGCAACACAGGGAGACUCCAUCUCUACACAAAAAUUAAUAAUAAAAUUAUCUGGGCGUGGUAGUGUGUGCCUGUGGUCCCAGCUACUCGGGAGGCUGAGGUGGGAAGAUUGCUUGAGCGUGAGACAUAGAAGCUGCAGUGAGUUGUGAUCGUACCACUGUACUCCAGCCUGGGUGACAAAGUGAGACCUUGUCUGAAAAACAAAAAACCAAAAACCUACAAAAUAUUCAGUGUAAAUGAUUUCUUAUUCACACAGUGCUUAUUUUCUAGAUUUAGGCAAGUGUGCCAAGAAGGUAUUUCAAAAGGAAAAUCUAAAUAAUUUAAAUAAUAGCUACAUGUAACAUAUAUUCAGAUACUUUAUACCUUUGACUAUUCAUUUGUCUAUCUGUUCUUUCAUUCAUUUAUUUGUUUGCUUCUAAAUUGGAGAGUAAGAGUUGGAACAACACAGGACAAGGAAGAGUUGAAAAAUUCUCUCUAAGAAACCUGCUUACAUGCUGAUGAUUCACAUGCUUGAUUCUGUAUCAGAGUUUUUUGACAGGAUAAUGGAAGUAUGUAAUCUUUGAACAGAAGAGAAUGUGAAAAUAUAAUACAUUAGGUUUCUUGCAUUUUUUUUUUCCCCAAUCAGACAACACAGAAGGAUUACAAAGUUUUCAGACUUGCACUGGGCCAAAGAAAGGCUUUGCAUCUAAUUCAGAAUCUUUUUAUGCUUUGAGCAAACAGUGGCUAAAGCUUUUCCCUAAGAAAGCUGGUCUUCUAAGGACAAUUGCCAUUACCUGGCAGAAGUAAAGCUCACAAGGAAAGAGUGUAGCAUUUGUUGGGUUUUGGACUCUAAAUAUGAAAUUGUCACCUGAUCAGGAGGAGGACAGUAUACACAUUUAUCUAGUCGACCAGGCCUAAGCAGGGCAGGGUCAAUCAAGUCAGGGCGACUAGUAGCAGCCAAUACAUAAACACCUA